CCAGUGGUCGCUCUUGGAGGGUCUCGCCGCCAGUGGAAGGAGCCACCGCCCCCGCCCGACCAUGGCCGAGGAUCUGGUCUUAGAGAGGUGUGAUCUGGAGCUGGAGACCAAUGGCCGAGACCACCACACGGCCGACCUGUGCCGGGAGAAGCUGGUGGUACGACGGGGCCAGCCCUUCUGGCUGACCCUGCACUUUGAGGGCCGCAACUACGAGGCCAGUGUAGACAGUCUCACCUUCAGUGUCGUGACCGGCCCAGCCCCUAGCCAGGAGGCCGGGACAAAGGCCCGUUUUCCACUACGAGAUGCUGUGGAGGAGGGUGACUGGACAGCCACCGUGGUGGACCAGCAAGACUGCACUCUCUCGCUGCAGCUCACCACCCCGGCCGACGCCCCCAUCGGCCUGUAUCGCCUCAGCCUGGAGGCCUCCACUGGCUACCAGGGAUCCAGCUUUGUGCUGGGCCACUUCAUCUUGCUCUUCAACUCCUGGUGCCCAGCGGAUGCUGUGUACCUGGACUCGGAAGAGGAGCGGCAGGAGUACGUCCUCACCCAGCAGGGCUUUAUCUACCAGGGCUCAGCCAAGUUCAUCAAGAACAUACCUUGGAAUUUUGGGCAGUUUGAAGAUGGGAUCCUAGACAUCUGCCUGAUGCUUCUAGAUGUCAACCCCAAGUUCCUGAAGAACGCCGGCCGUGACUGCUCCCGCCGCAGCAGCCCCAUCUACGUGGGCCGGGUGGUGAGCGGCAUGGUCAACUGCAACGAUGACCAGGGUGUGCUGCUGGGACGCUGGGACAACAACUACGGGGACGGCAUCAGCCCCAUGUCCUGGAUCGGCAGCGUGGACAUCCUGCGGCGCUGGAAGAACCACGGCUGCCAGCGCGUCAAGUACGGCCAGUGCUGGGUCUUCGCCGCCGUGGCCUGCACAGGUGAGCUGCACGCUGGGAUGUGGGUCAUGAGCCCUGGGAGGGGGCACAAAGAGCACCGGAGUAGGAAUCAGGACAUCCCUGCCCUGGUCCUGCCCCUGUCACCAACACUCUCAAUGCGCUAUGUGGCCUAGAGCCUGUGACCACCCUCUCCGGUCCUUUAUCCAAUAGCCAUCCCUCCGGUGGUUGUUAGGAUCAAGGGCUAUCACUGGGGAGACUGCAUGGGCUGAGGGCUGAGAACUUGGUCACUGGAGCCCACGUCCUCAAAAACUCAGGAUUUUUAACCUGAGUUAAAAACCCCCUCCCUCCCACCACUUGCUCUGUGACCUUGAGCAAAUGACUUCUUUCUGAACCUCAGUUUCCUCGUCUGGAAAAUGGGGACAACAUCAAGACCUUCCUCCUAGAGUGGGUGUGACAUGAAGCCACUCAGCACAGAACCUGGCCCAGUGUUGCUCUUGGCAAAUAUUAGCCAGUAAUAACUGGAUCCUAACAGUAAUAUCAGUGUCAAGAAAGAAAGCGUGUUCUAAAAUACAGAGGGGGAAUAUCGAGCAAUUUAAAACCAAAAAAGUAAAAUAAAUCUAAAACAAAAAUCUUAAAAAUUUAAGGCCAGAAAAUGUUGAUGAUUGUUGCCAGGCUGAUGAUGGUGCUUAUGAGAAUGGGUUAGCAUCACACACUGGCUAAGAAUGUAGACUCGAGACAUGAGGAUUGUUUGAGGCCAGGAGUUUGAGACCAGCCUGGGCAAUAUAGUGAGACCUUGUCUCUACAAAAAAAUAAAAUAAAAUAAAAAUUAGCAGGCAUGGUUGUGUGUGCCUGGAGUCUUGGCUACUCAGGAGGCUGAGGCAGGAAGAUCGCUUGACCCCAGGAGGUUGGCUGCAAUGAGCUACGAUUGCGCCAUUGCAAUCCAGCCUGGGCAAUGGAGCAAGAUCCUCUCUCAAAAAAAAAAAAAAAAAAACAGAGAGAGAGCACAGAUUCUGAAGUCAAGGCCUGGGUUCAGAUCCUAGCUCUGCUUCUUACCAGCUGUGUGUCCUUAGGUAAAUCACUUAACUCCUCUGAACCACAGUUCCAUCGUAUGUAAAAUGGGCAUGACGGUAGUACCUUUAUACUGGGAUGGUUGUGAGGAUUAAAUGAGUUAAUACGUGUGAGGUAGCUGAGCGUGGUAGUGGUGCACCUGUAGUCUUAGCGAUUUGGGAGGCUGAGGCAGGGGGAUCACUUGAGCCCAGGAGGUCGAGGCUGCAGUGAGUCAUGAUUGCACCACUGUACUCCAGCCUGGGUGACAGAGCGAGACCUCAUCUCUAAAUAAAUAAAUGAAUGUAGGAAGUGCUUAAAAUGAUUUUGGGUGCAUAAUAGAAAAUACUUAUGUGAUGAUA
rnacentral:sRNA from 1 species